AUAGCGUAUAUUAAAGUUGUUGCAGUUAAAAAGCUCGUAGUUGAACCUUGGGCCUGGCUGGCCGGUCCGCCUCACCGCGUGCACUGGUCCGGCCGGGCCUUUCCUUCUAGGGAUCCGCAUGCCCUUCACUGGGUGUGUCGGGGAACUAGGACUUUUACUUUGAAAAAAUUAGAGUGUUCAAAGCAGGCCUUUGCUCGGAUACAUUAGCAUGGAAUAAUAGAAUAGGACGGCUUUCCUAUUUUGUUGGUUUCUAGGGGAGCCGUAAUGAUUAAUAGGGAUAGUCGGGGGCAUUAGUAUUCAAUUGUCAGAGGUGAAAUUCUUGGAUUUAUUGAAGACUAACUACUG
rnacentral:rRNA from 1 species